CAUUACUCCAACGUGUAGAGAUGUGAUUGUGAAUGCGGUAGAGUCGACAGGACUCUUUACUGUAUUAGUUGGUCAUCACUGGGGAGAUUUAGCUAGCUACACAUACGGGGAUUGCUAAACCUGAAUCAUGCACAUCGUCAUUACAUCUAACUGGGAGUGGAGCAGAAAUUGUGCAAGAUAUGGAUAGGAGUUUUCUUUGGUUCUAGAGAUUGCGCGGUUGUUGCUCCGAGUCAAGUUUCCAGCAAGUCCCAUAUUCCAUAAUGCUUCACGAGGACUCGACUCAUUGGAACCAUGUGGACAUUUCCUCACGUGUGUUUCAUGUUGAAGCGGUGAUGCUGGGAUAAAAAGGGAAAAUUAGCAAACAACAAGCAUUGGUGCAUAUCUGUUUUGUUUGUUUGUCGUAGACUUUCUGUGAUUUCUGAAGUCGAGGAGGAAGGUGUGGACGAUAGUUGUGAUCCAGCUAAAAUAAGUCAGAAACAUGGGGAACGCAGGGAGUAUGGACCAACAAACUGAUUUCAGGGGACAUAACAUGCCUUUGAAACUGCCUAUGCCGGAGCCAGGUGAAUUGGAGGAGAGAUUCGCAAUCGUUUUGAAUUCGAUGAACCUUCCCCCGGACAAAGCGCGACUACUGCGGCAGUACGACAACGAGAAGAAGUGGGAGCUCAUCUGUGAUCAGGAACGAUUCCAAGUGAAGAACCCACCUCACACAUACAUCCAGAAGCUGAGGGGCUAUCUGGACCCGGCCGUCACCAGGAAGAAAUUCCGACGGAGAGUGCAGGAGUCCACCCAAGUCCUGAGAGAACUGGAAAUUUCGUUAAGGACAAAUCACAUAGGGUGGGUGAGAGAAUUCCUCAACGAAGAAAACAAAGGCCUAGAUGUGCUGGUGGAGUAUCUUUCCUUUGCGCAGUACGCUGUCACGUUUGAUGGCGACAGCGUGGAGAACAACCCGGAGAAGUUGGUGGACAAGCCCUGGAGCAGAUCCAUAGAGGACCUGCACGGGGGGAGUAACUUCCCGUCCCCCGUCAACGGGAACAGCAUCUCCCGCGCCGGGCGACACUCCACGCUACGGACACCAAGCUCUUUAAAAUGCCCAAAGUGUUCUCAAGGACGAUGUUGCAACACGUUGCCGAGCCGGAGAACUCUGAAGAACUCCCGGCUUGUCUGUAAGAAGGAUGACGUCCACGUCUGCAUCAUGUGCCUGCGAGCCAUCAUGAACUACCAGUACGGCUUCAACAUGGUGAUGUCCCACCCGCAUGCUGUGAAUGAAAUUGCACUAAGUCUCAACAAUAAAAAUCCCAGAACCAAAGCUCUGGUGUUGGAGUUACUGGCCGCCGUGUGUCUCGUCAGGGGAGGACACGAAAUCAUCCUCUCUGCGUUCGACAACUUCAAGGAGGUGUGUGCUGAGACACAGAGGUUCGAGAAGCUAAUGGAACACUUCAAGGACAUGGAUAACAACAUUGACUUUAUGGUGGCAUGUAUGCAGUUCAUCAACAUCGUGGUCCACUCGGUAGAGGACAUGAACUUCCGGGUUCACCUGCAGUACAACUUCACCAAGCUCUGUCUGGACGACUACCUGGAUAAGCUGAAGCACACAGAGAGUGACAAGCUGCAGGUGCAGAUCCAGGCCUACCUGGACAACGUGUUUGACGUGGGCGCCCUGCUGGAGGACGCCGAGACCAAGAACGCCGCGCUGGAGCGCGUGGAGGAGCUAGAGGAGAACAUGUCGCAUAUGACGGAGAAGCUGCAGGACACGGAGAACGAGGCCAUGUCCAAGAUCGUGGAGCUGGAGAAACAGCUGAUGACGCGCAACAAGGAGCUCGACGCUGUCCGGGAGGUGUACAAGGACGCCAACUCGCAGGUGCACACGCUGCGGCGGAUGGUGAAAGAGAAGGACGAGGCCAUCCAGAGGCAGUGCAACCUGGAGAAGAAGAUCCACGAGCUGGAGAAGCAGGGCACCAUGAAGAUCCAGAAGAAGGGCGACGGGGACAUCUCCAUCCUAACCUCGUCGCCCGCCCCCGGGGGCCCACUGGUGGCCGGAUUUGAGGGUGUACCAGGGGGCUAUAACGGGGGUGCGGUCAGCCCGAUGGGGUCGAAUGGGAUCCCGGGGAUGCCCGCGCCGCCCCCUCCUCCUCCCCCACCGCCUGUGCCUGGGACUGUGCCAAAUGGGCCAUUGGCUGGCCUCGCCGCUCCUCCCCCUCCCCCGCCGCCCCCUCCUCCCCCUGGCCCUAUGGCGGUGUCUGCCCCCCCACCCCCGCCUCCACCCCCCAUGGCCCCACCGCUGCCCGGCUGUGGAUCCCCCACUGUCAUCUUCAACUCAGGGUUAGCAGAGGGACCCAUCAAACUGUUCUCCGUGAAGAUUAAGAAGCCCAUCAAGACCAAGUUCCGUUUGCCGGUGUUCAACUGGGUGGCGCUGAAGCCCAACCAAAUCAACGGCACUGUGUUCAACGAGAUCGACGACGAGAGGAUACUGGAGGACCUGAACGUGGAUGAGUUUGAGGAGAUGUUCAAGACGAAAGCCCAGGGCCCGGCCAUCGACUUGGCCGUGAGCAAGACCAAGAUCAUCCAGAAGGGUCCCAACAAGGUGGCGCUGCUGGACGCCAACCGGGCCAAGAACAUGGCCAUCACCCUGAGGAAAGUGGGCAAGGCCCCCGAGGAGAUCUGCAAGGCCAUUCAGCUGUUUGACCUGCGCACCCUGUCGGUGGACUACGUGGAGUGUCUGAUGCGCUUCCUGCCCACGGAGAACGAGGUGAAGAUCAUGCGUCAGUACGAGAAGGAGCGGAAGCCCGUGGAGGCUCUGACGGACGAGGACCGCUUCAUGAUGCACUUCAGCAAGAUCGAGCGGCUCAUGCAGAAGAUGACCAUCAUGGCCUUCAUAGGCAACUUCUGCGAGAGCGUUCAGAUGCUGACGCCGCAACUUCAUGCGAUCAUCGCGGCGUCUGUGUCAAUAAAAUCCUCACAGAAACUCAAGAAAAUUCUAGAGAUUAUCUUGGCUCUCGGAAACUACAUGAACAGCAGUAAAAGGGGAGCGGUAUACGGUUUUAAACUACAAAGUUUAGAUUUGCUACUAGACACCAAGUCGACAGACCGGAAAAUGACACUGCUUCACUACAUAGCCAACGUGGUGAAGGAGAAAUACCAGCAAGUCAAUCUGUUCUACAACGAACUGCAUUAUGUGGAGAAGGCUGCAGCAGUGUCGUUAGAGAACGUUCUGCUGGAUGUGAAGGAGCUCCAGCGGGGAAUGGACCUGACUAAGAGAGAGUACAGCAUGCACGGUCACAACACUAUGCUCAAAGACUUCAUCACACACAACGAGGGCAAGCUGAAAAAGCUGCAGGACGACGCCAAGAUCGCACAGGAUGCCUUCGACGAGGCGGUCAAAUUCUUCGGCGAGAAUUCCAAAACGACUCCCCCGUCUGUGUUCUUCCCGGUGUUUGUGCGCUUCGUCAAGGCCUACAGGCAAGCGGAGGAGGACAACGAGCAGAAGAAGAGAGCGGAGCAGAUGAUGAUGGAGAAACUUCUGGAACAGGAGGCCAUGAUGGACCAGGAGGACAAGAAGUCUCCGUCCCAUAAGAACGCCAGGGGCAGGAGUCAGCAGCAGGAGGUGAUAGCUGAGCUGAGGAAGAAGCAGGUGAAGGAUACGGGCAGCCGCCACGUCUACGAGGGCAAGGACGGAGCCAUCGAGGACAUCAUCACCGUGCUGAAGACAGUGCCCUUUACCGCCCGCACAGCCAAACGGGGCUCUCGGUUCUUCUGCGAGCCGGCUCACAAUGAGGAGAGCCAUUACUAAAGCUUAGAACUCUCUCUCUGAAAGGUCGCUGUAAAUACACUUGCUCUUCUUUCUUCCCUACCUCUCUCUUUCGCCGUACUCUCACUGUGUGUCCUGUGUUCCUUCUUCACUCGCUCACUCUGUGGGUGUGUCACUUUCAGUCACGUGUGUGUUUCUUUGUGUGUGUGUGUGUGUGGGGGGGGGUGUCUGUCUCCACCCCUCCUAUGAGGGGAGCAUGAGGAGGGAGGGGUUUUGUGGGAGGGGGUCGCUGAUGUCAGCUCCGUUACCCUGCAUGAAGCAUGUCAUCCCUGUUAUAUACUUUCUCGUCCGUUUGUAUCAUCACCCAUAGCAAACCAUAAUGUCACAGACAUUUUCCUGUCGGUCAGUCAGGCCAUUGAUAUUUGAGAAGGGGGAGAUGGGUAAGAAACCAUCUCUCUUUAUCUGUAUUAGUAAUACAUACACUGAGUGUCCAAAACAUUAUGAACACCUGCUCUUUCCAUGACAUAGACCAUAGACUGACCAGGUGAAUCCAGGUGAAUGAUCCCUUAUUGAUGUCACUUGUUAAAUCCACUUCAAUCAGUAUAGAUAAAGGGGAGGAGACAGGUUAAAGAAGGAUUUUUAAUCAUUGAGACAAUUGACAUGAGUUGUGUAUGUGUAUUAUUCAGAGGGUGAAUGGGCAAGACAAAAUAUUUAAGUGCCUCUGAACGGGGUAUGGUAGUAGGUGCCAGGCGCACCGGUUUGUGUCAGGAACUGCAACGCUGCUGGGUUUUUCCUGCUGAACCGUUUCCUGUAUGUAUCAAGAAUGGUCCACCACCCAAAAGACAUCCAGAUAACUUGACACAACAGUGGGAAGCAUUGGAGUCAACAUGGGGCCAGCAUCCCUGUGGAACGCUUUUCGACACCUUGUAGAGUCCAUGCCCCGAUAGGACGGGACGGGGUGCAUCUCAACAGUAGGAAGGUGUUCUUCGUGUUUUGUACACUCAGUGUAUAUCAAUCAGACAGCAUGGUAAGUGCCCUCUGCUGUUAAAAUAGCUGAAGUGCUUCCUAGGCCGUAGCCCAACGGAUUGUCACUGACUAGCAUCCAAGACGUUUAUAUUGCAUGACAUAUGUUAUGUUGACUAGUAUUCAUGCCAGUAGUUAUGUGGUGUAGCGUAUUGUAGUUCUGCUUCAGUAGAUGAAGUUAGUAUAGUUAGUAUUGUCAACAUAGCAGAGUACCCUAUAAUUCUAAAAUAAUUCUAUAAUGUAAUGUAAGUGAGGAUGUGUUGAUCUUGACUCAUUUUAAAAUGGCUGUGGCAUUAUACCUUGCUUGUGUGUCCAUCUGUCUUAUCAUGAAAACUGAGUGUUGUCGUCAUCAUGUAUUACUGCUGCUGUUUGGGUCUCUGCAUGCCACUGGCUUUCUCCUGCUUCAGACCCAAAAUGUCCCCUGUUCCCAGAUCCCCUAUCUCUGAUCCAGGGUGUUACAUCUGUCUUGCUGAUGCUGAGCCUAGAAGCUACACGUAGCGCUCUGGACCAGAGCUACAGCCCCCCCCCCCCUCCCCCACCCCACCUUGUGCUUGGCUCAGUUGCCUGGUGAUGGAGGACAAUCUGAUCACAUGACUUUCUGUGGUCUGCCAGGGCACCUUUCUAACAUAUUGCAUGAAGUUUUAUUUUCUGACACGUGUUCUCGGUCUAGGAUGUCACGUGUCCUUUGUGUGCCACUAACCUACAGCCAGAUACAUGAAUUAAUGUUUAGCGAUUUCAAGGGAAAAGCCUCAGUAUUUCCGUACAGUUUCAUUUGCAUCCCAUCCCCAUGUACCUGGCUGAAUGCAUGCUGUUCUUUGGUUUUUGGUCCAUGUUCUAUUCAAUAUUAACUUUUUUCUUGUAUGUUGAAUUUUUUUUUGGGGGGGGGUUCAUGAUAACUAUUGCAAAGUUUGAUGCUUAGCUCUAUUUUGUCAUGCUGGUAGUCAUUCUGCAAAGCAGCAUGGGUUUUGAGACACAGAAAAACAAAUGCUUUGGUUUGUUCUCCCUUUGUGCCUGCAGAAUCAGUUAACAACCUAUCUUAGCUUUGGCCCUCCUAACACAUCUAGUCCUGUCUUAUUCUGUCCCCUGCUCCCCUAUUGGCUGCUUUGCUCGCUCAGCGCUCCCACCGCUGCAAGGACACUGUGAAAACACUGGAGUGACCCCUCUGGUCACCCUGCUUCUUUAACCUCCAUUUUGUCUUCUCUUCAUCCAUCCAGCCCUAAAGAAGAAUAAUAUUACUAAAUUUCCCAAUGUCCACUCAAGGAUCUUCGCAAUCAGCCUUACAGGCGAGCCGACGCGGUGAGGAGGAGCGUCAGGAGACGCUUCGACGACCAGAACUUGCGGCCGGUCAACAACUCUGAAGUCGUAAUUUGACGAGGGAGAAGUGCAUGUGUUAGGGGCGGAGGGUGAGGAGGGGGGAGUGAUGUGGAAAGUGUAGCAGCCUCUCACUCUUAAGGACUGAAGGAGAGAUGGAUGGGUCUGACAGGUCAGUUAUAGGGAACCUUAGACAAGCCAAGUGCCUAAAACUUACUUGUGAUCAGUUGUUUUGCCUCCUGUUUGUGUGUCUUGUGAUUUUUUUAUUACUUCAAGCAAUACAACUUGACCUGGCUUUAAUUGUAUUUUCCUUUGAUAUGUAAAACUGGACACAGACGUCUGUAGCAGGGAUUCCUGAAAGAAGUGUAGAAUGUAACGGGUCACGGUUCCCUUAGCUGUCGAAAGGUAUUCCGCCACAGGGGAUGAAUAUGGUAUUUCAUAGCUAGUAUGUUAUUACAUUCCUGGUGCUACUGCCAUCACUCUUAGAAAUUACACAAUGUGCUCGAGUGGCACUCUAAAGAACGCAUUAGCUUUUCCAUUGUUACUAAAGGGCUAAUGUACGUCUUAAAGGGGACAUACACUAUAUAUACAAAAGUAUGUGGACACCCCUUAAAAUCUGUGGAUUCGGCUGUUUCAACCACACCCGUUACUGACAGGUGUAUAAAAUCAAGCAGGCAGCCAUGCAAUCUCCAUAGACAAACAGUAGAAUGGCCUUACUGAAGGGCUCAGUGACUUUUAACGUGGAACCAUCAUAGGAUGCCCCCUUUCCAUUGAGUCAGUUCGUCAAAUUUAUGCUCUGCUAGAGCUGGCCUGGUCGACUGUAGGUGCUGUUACUGUGAAGUGGAAACGUCUAGGAGCAACAACAGCUUAGCCGCGAAGUGGUAGGCCACACAAGCUUGAAGAACGGAACUGCCGAGUCCUGAAGGCAUAAGUCAUUGUAAAUAACAAUUUGUUCUUAACCGACUUGCCAAGUUAAAGGUUAAAGUCUGUCCUCGGUUGCAACACUCACUAGAGUUCCAAACUGCCUCUGGAAGCAACGUCAGCACAAUAACUGUUUGUCGGGAGCUUCAUGAAAUGGGUUUCCAUGGCCGAGCAGCUGCACACAACCCUAAGAUCACCAUGCGCAAUGCCAAGUGUCGGCUGGACUGGUGUAAAGCUCGCUGUCGUUGGUCUGGAGCAGUUGAAACGCUUUCUCUGGAGUGAUGAAUCACGCUUCACCAUCUGGCAGUCCGACGGACAAAUCUGGGUUUGGCGGAUGCCAGGAGAACGCUACUUGCACCAAUGCAUAGGGCCAACUGUAAAGUUUGGUAGAGGAGGAAUAAUGGUCUGUGGCUGUUUUUCAUGGUUCAGGCUAGGCCCCUUUAGUUCCAGUAAAGGGAAAUCUUAACGCUUCAGCAUACAAUGACAUUCUAGAUGAUUCUGUGCUUCUAACUGUGGCAACAGUUUGGGGAAGGCCAUUUCCUGUUUCAGCAUGACAAUGCCCCCAUGCACAAAGGGAGGUCUAUACAGAAAUAGUUUGUCAAGAUCGGUGUGGAAAAACUUGACUAGCUUGCACAGAACACCUGAACUCAAUCCCAUCGAACAGCUUUGGGAUGAAUUGGAACGAUGACUGCGAGCCAAUCACCCAACAUCAGUGUCCGACCUGGCUGAAUGGAAGCAAGUCCCCCCAGCAAUGUUCCAACAUCUAGUGGAAAGCCUUCCCAGAAGAGUGGAGGCUGUUAUAGCAGCAAAGGGGGGACCAACUCCAUAUUAAUGCCCAUGAUUUUGGAAUGAGAUGUUUGACGAGCAGGUGUCCACAUACUUUUGGUCAUGUAGUGUACAUGUCUUACUUUAGUAUAUUAUAAAGCAGUGAUCCAAAACAAAUAUGUUCAAAGAAAGUACUUAAGCAAGUAUGAGGUAGACAUAUGUACACCAAUGUAUGACCACAGAGAAAUCAUAUCAAAGACAAUAUAGCUCAGAGAGGUGUGGCUCUCUCAAGACGAGACCAGGCUAAUGUGAAUUGUAAAUAGCUAGGCCUCCAUAUUACGGUUAUGACGGUAUUAACAUCUCAUUUAUCAGUGUUAACAUGGUUAGUGGACCAAGCCGUGAAUAGAUAGAACUAUAUUAUCUCCUCAUGUAGACCUCAAGCGCCAUUCACAUGCAAUGCUGUUAGUGGUUGGUGGGGCCCUGGAGCCACAAUAGCUCUGGUCCAGGUCGUUGUUUGGUCGUACGAUUGUGCGAGCACAGCCGAACUAGACCAGAGCGAGAGACACAAUUGACUCAGAGCGAAUAGGAAAGGCGCUGAAAGAAGAACUUCUCAGCAGAUAUACUUCCAGUGAAGUGUAGUGGCUGCAAGUAAGGCACUUUAGGCUACUUGAGGAGCUUGUCAUGAAAACUGGAUUCCAAGAUUCUUUUUACUCUGAAAACUGCUAUCGGCUAAUGAAUCUUGUCUACUCACUAUUAUAAGUUUAAUGUAUAGUAUUUAACCACUGAAAACUGUUUCCAUUCAGUAUCGCUCAUGUGACCCACUUUGACAAUGAGCGGCAGUUGUUUUUGAUAGUGUUUAGGUAUGUUAAAAACAUGUCAGAAGAGACAACAAAAAGGUUUUGAAAUGUACAGAUAUUUUGAUAAAUUUAUGCAUUGUUUUAUACUUCUUAAUCUACUCAUUACCAUAUAAGGUUAAUAUUGUACAUAUUGUUUAAAACACCAUGUCAUAUACAAUUUGUUAUUUUAACGUAUCUUUUGGUCCAUUUUGUAUAUUUAAUUUAAGACAAACACAAAUCUGGCUUCUCUUUAACAUAAAAUAAUCAAGUGUGUGAAACAGGAUGCCCUGGUGUCACACUUGCCCGACAGUAAAGAGUUAUUUGAUCAGUGUCUGUCACUAAUGGCACCCUAUUCCCUGUAUAGUGCACUUCUUUUGGUCAUGUCACUAAUGGCACCCUAUUCCCUAUAUAGUGUACUUCUUUUGGCCAGAGCACAAGAGGAACUGGACAAAAGUAGCGCUCUAUAGGUAACCCAUUGACGUUCAGAGAAGCUUCCUGUGGUCUUGGGACUGUAAAUGUCCACAUUAUAGCAUGUGCAACAAACCACUCAUCUCUAGAUUUCCUGUGAACUUAACCACUCAUCGGCUUCGUAAGACUGGAUAAUACUGGCAUGUUAUUAAUUUAAUGUUUUUUUUAGGCAAUACGUGCUUAUUACAAAAUACUUUUGUUAGAUUGAGUUCAAUGGAUAUGAUCAAAUAAACUGUUUACACUGUG